rnacentral:rRNA from 1 species
GUACACUCCUGCGGGAGGCAGCAGUGGGGAAUUUUGGACAAUGGGCGAAAGCCUGAUCCAGCAAUGCCGCGUGAGUGAAGAAGGCCUUCGGGUUGUAAAGCUCUUUUGUCAGGGAAGAAACGGUGAAAGCUAAUAUCUUUUGCUAAUGACGGUACCUGAAGAAUAAGCACCGGCUAACUACGUGCCAGCAGCCGCGGUAAUACGUAGGGUGCAAGCGUUAAUCGGAAUUACUGGGCGUAAAGCGUGCGCAGGCGGUUUUGUAAGUCUGAUGUGAAAUCCCCGGGCUCAACCUGGGAAUUGCAUUGGAGACUGCAAGGCUAGAAUCUGGCAGAGGGGGGUAGAAUUCCACGUGUAGCAGUGAAAUGCGUAGAUAUGUGGAGGAACACCGAUGGCGAAGGCAGCCCCCUGGGUCAAGAUUGACGCUCAUGCACGAAAGCGUGGGGAGCAAAGAGGAUUAGAAACCCUUGUAGUCCCAGG